GAUAAUCAAUCAAAUCCUAAAAUAAAAUCUCUAAAAUCAACCUUAAAACACUAAGAUUUAAACUCUAAUUAAAACUUCUUUUUUAUCCUUUAACAAAUCAAAUGCCAAUAAUUCUAACUAAAUCAUCCUACAUACGACAUAACAUAAACCACACAGCCUGUUACACACACUUUAAACUUGUUUGGUCAGGACACGACUUCUAGACCUAGGUUAGGCUGAUGUUGUAUCUUAUUAUUUAAUGUUUACUACAUGCACAUGUUUUAUAAAUGCUAUUCUUAAAUUCCCAGUUAGUUAUAUUUUUAUUUACUUGCAUUUCUUUUCUGAAUGACAUCUACGCUCAUUUGCAUAUUUCUCUUUUAUCUUAUCUUGCGAGGUACAUCGGAGCUUAAUGAUCGGGAGCUAAACGGGACCAUUUGCUUAUAAGCUUUUAAGUGGCAGCGCCACAGCUAGGUACAUCGGGUCUCGCACGUUCAAGAAUCAAUGAUCAGUUUGCUUGCUUGGAACUUGUAAGUGGCAACGCCACGGUCAGGUUGAAUAAGGGAAAGUGGUAAGAGUGCGAAGAAGUGUAGCAAAGAAAGGCUUAAGUGAGAACAUACCCGUAAGUGAUGGCAGAACACCCGAGGUUUACAUAUAGUCGACGAGCAACGGGUGACAGGUUCUUACUGUUUUGUUUUAGUUAUGAAUUUUUGGGUGGUUUUAUCAUGAAUGACUAGAUUGAAUUUAUACCACCUUGUACAUGAUCUUCUUUUGUGAUGGUUUUAAAUGUGAUACUUAUUGGAAAAAGUUUAGAGGCGCUUUUAUUAUACUUUUAUUAUCUUUAGAAUUUCAUGAAACUGAUGAUGAGCACUUAAAUUACAUGUCCGAUCUCGUUCCCGCCUCAUACCUACGAGCUCACCGGGCCGGAUCGUGACAGAAAAUAUCUUAAAUUUCUUUAGAUAGGUGAUCUCAUAAAAAUUCAGUAGGCUUCUUAAAAUCAUCAUGGUA